rnacentral:sRNA from 2 species
CCUCAGUCCUUUCUUGGGAUGGCUGGUGGUGGCUUUUCAUUGUUCCUCAGGAUAUCACCUAUCCUCUCUCUCAAUCUUGCUGCAUCAAAGAUUAUAUGAGAAGGAACAAACAAAGCCUUUAUCUGUUUCAUUGUCAGCCUCUUUCUGUUUUACUAUGUUGUAUUCACAUCUAGGAUUGUAUACACUUCAGACACAGGCAUUAUGUGCUGUUUUGAUAACAAAACAACAGCCCUUUCAAUGAGCAUUCACAGAAGCAAUGUAAGGUGUGUUAAGGUUUCUUGCGAAGAUGGCCAGAUUCCAUGGUCCAUAUAUCUCUUCCAAAGGGGAAGGGAAAGUAUGGCAUUCCCCCAGGAUAGUCAUGCUCUUCUAUGAAGCUGUUUCACCCAGCUGGUGAGACAGACAAAACACAAC